rnacentral:lncRNA from 1 species
UCGAUAAACAAUCUUUACCAUGUCUGUGUUGGGGCUUUUGUGGGGAUUUUGAAGGGACUAGUCAUGAAGAAUGGGAGCAUAAUGGUUGCCAUUUUACAUAGUUGCACCUUGUGCACAUUCCUCUAUAACCUAAAGGAAUUGGAUUGAAUAGUUAAUGCAGCCAACAUAGAGGAGAUGAUUUUAAGCCAUUGGUAUUAGGAUAUGUAUGAAUACAACUGCCUGGUCAUUGAAUAUGCUCUUGUUCUUGGUGGGACUUAUGAAUAGCCAGGAAGCAGUCUUGAGAGCCUGGGAUUAAUGAUUUUUAAUUAUCUUCUUUUCUUUCUGUGUUUCAGUUGUGUCCAUUUUGUGCAUGUGUGUCCAUAUAAAGCUUGUUCUUAAUUUGUGCAGUCAUAGGAGUUGCCUAUGAUGAUUUGUUUAAUUAAUAUCUUUGAGAUUGUUGUGGUUAUGUGGUUAUUGGAACUACUUGGAUAGAUUAAUUUCUUUCAUUGUCAUCUACAAACAGCACUCACUAAUAAUGCUAUCUUUUGAAUGGUAUUUGCUGCUCUUGGUAUGUGGUAAAUGCCAUUGUCAUUGUUAGAGUGCAUCUAAUAUAAGUCUGACCUCAUAUGGGAAUAAGUUUAACAAUCGUUUGAUUAAAUAUUUAGAUCAAUAUUUAUUUGAAUUAAUUAAAAUGUAUAUAAUGAAUGCAUAAAUAUAAAAUAUUUUAUCAUAUGGUUGUAAAAAUGGUCCUUAUAUGCGCUUAAGCUCUCCAUAG